rnacentral:misc_RNA from 1 species
GAAAAAGAAUUUUGGCAUGAAAUAGCUUGUGGAAAGACUGAUAGUGUAGAAUAUGCCUGUGAUGUUGAUGGUAGUGCGUUCUCAUCUUCUCCAAAUGAUCAGCUCGGAAAAAGCAAAUGGAAUUUGAAGGAACUUUCUCGGUUGCCUAAAUCAGUACUGCGGCUCCUCGAAAAAUCAAUCCCGGGAGUUACUGAACCUAUGUUGUAUAUUGGAAUGCUAUUUAGUAUGUUUGCUUGGCAUG